GUUUUGGUCAAACAGGGGCAGCCAUGGCGGACCACACUGGCAAAAGCUGUGGCCUGCCUCCCACAAGAAACUGGUGGUUCUGUCCUCAUGCCCCUUCGCUAUGGUCUGGAACAUAAAUAAAGAUCCAGGAAAGAAGGUGAACCGGAGGAGGAGGCUAAGCCUCGUGAAUGCGAGAACUACAACCUGACCAGUCAGGCAGAGUUCUAUGUGGCGACUAGAUCUAAAAGGAACACCGGAGGGUUUUGUAAGAAGUGAAUUAACAUCUCUGGAUGACGAAGAGAGCAUCAGGGGUAAUGGGUUUUCAACAAUUUGAUAAGUAAUCAAAUUCUUUAUAUGAUCACUUUUUUGACAAAUGCUUAUUGUUACUUUAAAUUACCUGUCAAGCUGACCAACUACCCUGCAGCACCAAAAAAGCUUCAAUCCAUUCACGACACCAACAUAUUACACAAUGUUUGUACUUAUGAGACAUGGUGGUAUGUUCUGUGUACACAACAUGAUAGUUACAGAUUCAUGUUUUCCAUGUAAUUUCACUGCACUCUACACAGGAUCUCUAUUCAUGUGAAAAUAAAAUAACCUUGUGUCCUUGUUUCAGCCUUUGAAGAUGAAACCAAGUCCUGUGGACUUAAAACUAGAUGUCCAGUAAACGUUAGUAAAAGAAGUCGUCUGGCGUCACAUUCCACACCUUCAGGGAACCAAAAUGGGAUGUGCAAAAAUGACUUGGGAGGGAUGUCGUUUCGACGUCUCUUUGCGCAGUGGGUUUAAGAUCAAACAUUGGUUAGGGGCAGCCUAUCACCCUGCUUUGCAGGGCCUUCUGGAGAGGGCAAAUAGUACCAUUAAACAGCAGCUGGCUAAAGUUUGUGAACAAACAAAAAUAAAAUGGAUAGAUGCUC